UCUCGGCCGCAUCUCUCUCUUUCUCCCCCGACCUCACUCUCUCUUCUCUCUCUACCAGCGCCGGAAACUCCAUCUCGGGCCACCCGCUCUUGUCACCACGACCACCAAUCGAUCCAGCAUCCAAAUCCGACCCAAGCCUGAACCUUAUCGUCGACAUGCAUCGCCGCCAGCCUCCGCGCGCGACAACCCAAGGCUGCGACACCACUGUUGCUCGACCUUCGUCGAUUUCCGACCAUCACCUCGCCACAACGACCCCACCGCCUGACUCAGCAAGCAACGAGGAGCAAAACCCAGAAGUUUCGCCACCCACCGAAGCCAGAAAACGACGUACGAGUUUCGCCUGAACCGGGGGCCUUGCAUGUCGUCGUUUUUCAAUUUCCAGCCAUGCCUGGGCUGCCCGACCACCAUGGAUGUAGUAAGUGCCUAAAUGUCUAGAAUAGCCCCUCACCUAGACCUCUGAUUUCGACCGGAGCCACCCAGCACCGCCGUGAGAGCCACCGGCUUACCUUUUUCGUCUGGUUUGUGGAAUCUGGAAAAUUGAAGCUUUGGAGAAGAAAUGAGCUACUGGGUCAGUUUCAAAUCGAAAUAAGGAAUUCAGAUGGUUAAUGGAUGUGGAUUUCUGCGUUUUUGGAGUUUUGGAAGAGAGGAGCUGCUGGGCCAGUUAAGUUGAUGUUGAGGAAUGGGAUCUGAAAGGUUGUUGGUGGUGGAACUGCAGCUACGACGAAACUGGUUUCUGUUUUGGAAAAGAAGAAUGGACUCGAGCGUGUGCACGUGAAAUUGGAAGAAGUAUUGAAAGUCAGAAAUGAAGCUAAUUGUGGACGAGCACUCCAUAUCCAGUGUGCAGGUUUCGAGCAUGCGGUCGAGGAGCGUACAGAGGAGGCACAAGGCCCGGCUUGGCGCAUUCUUCUUUAAUUUUAUCAAAAGAAGGUUUUGAUCCUUUAUUGGAUUUUGAAGUAGCUUGUUUAUUUACUUUUAUUUAUUUAUUUCCUACUCGUUUACCAAAACUUCGAGAGGCCCGUAACCCUGGGGCGCGUCUCUCGCACUUGUAGUUACUUAGUGAUUUGUUUUCCAAAUUGGGCUCCGAUUAUAAGCCCAAAUCCUUUAGCCCACUUUAAAUUCCGUUUUCGAAAAUAUGUUGUCCGGUUGCUAGAGUGAUUUGUCCAA